UACGUAGGUGGCAAGCGUUGUCCGGAUUUACUGGGCGUAAAGAGCGCGCAGGCGGUCAGAUAAGUCGAAUGUGAAAGCCCCCGGCUCAACUGGGGAGGGUCAUUGGAAACUGGGGGACUUGAGUGCAGAAGAGGAAAGCGGAAUUCCACGUGUAGCGGUGAAAUGCGUAGAGAUGUGGAGGAACACCAGUGGCGAAGGCGGCUUUCUGGUCUGUAACUGACGCUGAGGCGCGAAAGCGUGGGGAGCAAACAGG
rnacentral:rRNA from 1 species